GGACCACAUGAUUUCUCUUGUGCCAAGGAGGGUGACACAAAGCAGCAGUGUCCCCCAGAGAGCCUGACCUGGCUGAGCAGGGCAUGGAGAGCCCAGUGCGAACCCACAGGCCUGGACUCUCUUGGGAACCGGAAGACGGGAGGGCAGAUGGUGGGCAGCCUGGGGCCUGGCUCUGUGGAGACACUGGCUCCUUCUUGGGCCAUAAAGCCCUGUGGUGGCCUAGUUGCACAACCCCAAUGAAGGCACUAAGAUCGGUCAGCAGAUCACGGAGUGGUGCCCAACUCCACCCCAGCCUGUGUUGGGCCCUGCCUGCCUUCCUGAACAAAUGAACUGUGCUUUGAGUCAAUUAUCCUGUUAUGAAUUACAAAAUGCUAG
rnacentral:lncRNA from 1 species